rnacentral:lncRNA from 1 species
GUUGAUCAGCGUGAAUAUGAUGAUGAAGAAGAUCUGGGAAUUCAAUUUGUGAGGGAUUCUGCUGAAGAAGGUGAGAUGUGUAGUGGUGAUGAAGAGACAGUAUUCUCACCAAAUUUGCCAAAGGUUGAAAGUUCCUCCAAGCUAGGAUCCAGUCGCAGGCUUAAUGCCACAGCUCCGGAAUUCAUCCCCAACAUUGAGCAACAACAAAGAUGCACAAAAGCUGAAUCGAAAGGAAAAGCAAUAGCAAAGAAAUCUGGGCAGCAGCAGCAACUCAAUUCAACAACUGUAGCUGAAGUUGUUACUGAAUCUGGGCAGCAGCAGCAAC